CUUAAUGUUGAUCUUAAUGAAGCUGUUUCCUUCCUGUUUUUAGUUUUACAUGGACCAGCAGCAUAUGAGGAAAAGCUGUUCAGUGUGAAUACAAUAAUCUUUUGGGCAAACUUUGUUCGAAAUAGACCUGCUGUACUGGCUGACCCCAAACCAAAUGAAGACUACCCGCUUCUGCCUGUGGUACAGGGCCUGAGGGCAGAGAAGAUGAAGUUCUGGCUUAAGGACUUGCUUCAGAAGAAGAAAGGGAUGUCCUGGAGAAAUGAGUCCUAGUCUGAACCAUUUUUGCUGCUGCUCUUGUCUAGUAACUUCCAAUCAUUUCCUCUGAGUAAUUCCUUCAUUCCUACUAAAUAUAUGAUACCUUGGGUUAUA